rnacentral:rRNA from 1 species
UUAAAUUGAAGAGUUUGAUCAUGGCUCAGAUUGAACGCUGGCGGCAGGCCUAACACAUGCAAGUCGAACGGUAACAGGAAGCAGCUUGCUGCUUCGCUGACGAGUGGCGGACGGGUGAGUAAUGUCUGGGAAACUGCCUGAUGGAGGGGGAUAACUACUGGAAACGGUAGCUAAUACCGCAUAACGUCGCAAGACCAAAGAGGGGGACCUUCGGGCCUCUUGCCAUCGGAUGUGCCCAGAUGGGAUUAGCUAGUAGGUGGGGUAACGGCUCACCUAGGCGACGAUCCCUAGCUGGUCUGAGAGGAUGACCAGCCACACUGGAACUGAGACACGGUCCAGACUCCUACGGGAGGCAGCAGUGGGGAAUAUUGCACAAUGGGCGCAAGCCUGAUGCAGCCAUGCCGCGUGUAUGAAGAAGGCCUUCGGGUUGUAAAGUACUUUCAGCGGGGAGGAAGGGAGUAAAGUUAAUACCUUUGCUCAUUGACGUUACCCGCAGAAGAAGCACCGGCUAACUCCGUGCCAGCAGCCGCGGUAAUACGGAGGGUGCAAGCGUUAAUCGGAAUUACUGGGCGUAAAGCGCACGCAGGCGGUUUGUUAAGUCAGAUGUGAAAUCCCCGGGCUCAACCU